CUACGGGGGGCUGCAGCAGGGAAUAUUGCACAAUGGACGGAAGUCUGAUGCAGCGACGCCGCGUGGAUGAUGAAGGCCCUCGGGUUGUAAAAUCCUUUUCAGGGGGACGAGGAAGGACGGUACCCUUGGAAUAAGCGUCGGCUAACUACGUGCCAGCAGCCGCGGUAAGACGUAGGACGCAAGCGUUAUCCGGAUUUACUGGGCGUAAAGCGUCUGUAGGCGGAAUGGUAAGUUGGACGUGAAAGCUCCGGGCUCAACCCGGAGAGGUCGGUCAAUACUGCCAAACUAGAGGGCAUCAGAGGAGCGUGGAAUUUCCGGUGUAGCGGUAAAAUGCGCAGAUAUCGGAAGGAACACCAAUGGCGAAGGCAGCGCUCUGGGAUGAACCUGACGCUAAGAGACGAAAGCUAGGGGAGCGAACAGGAUUAGAUACCCUCGUAGUC
rnacentral:rRNA from 1 species